UACGGAGGGGGCUAGCGUUGUUCGGAAUUACUGGGCGUAAAGCGCGCGUAGGCGGCUUUGUAAGUUAGAGGUGAAAGCCCGGAGCUCAACUCCGGAACUGCCUUUAAGACUGCAUCGCUAGAACGAUGGAGAGGUAAGUGGAAUUCCGAGUGUAGAGGUGAAAUGCGUAGAUAUCUGGAGGAAUACCGGUGGCGAAGGCGGCAUCCUGGACCGGCAUUGACGCUGAGGAGCGAAAGCCAGGGGAGCAAACAGG
rnacentral:rRNA from 1 species